AUCCUUUCAUAGUUCAUAAGUGUGAUAAUUGGGUUUUCAUGUUGAUGUAUGAGAUGUACCUUUGGCACAUUACUCUCCUGACA
ensembl:snoRNA